rnacentral:lncRNA from 1 species
AUUACCUCACAUGUCUAUUACUCUUAAAUUGCAGAACAAGGGCUAAUCAUUCUUAAUUGGUAAAGGUAGUUUUCUCACUGGGAAUUCCCUUUUAUUAAUGAAAUACUUUAAGGUAAAAAAAUAAUGAUGCAAAAGCAGCACUAGGUAAGAAGGCAAUAUAAAGGCAAAAAAGACGUCAUCUCUGCCUUUGGCAUUGGCCCUUUACUUUGUGACCAACAUCUAUCUCUCAGUGAUAUAAAGAAGUCGACAAGCUCAAUGUAAAGAAACAUUUCCCCAUAGUUAGAACUCCUGUUGCUUCAAAAGGAGAGAGGGCUACAAGAGAUAGUUGACUUACCCUUUAUGGUAGGUCUUCCAGCAAAGAUUUGGUAACCAUGGAUCAAUGAUGUUCUAGUUUCAUAGACCUGAACCAUUUUAUACUGGAGUUUGACAACACUGAUCUAGAUCCUGGUACAAUGAGAAGUAUGAGGAAGGAAAGAUAACUUUUAUCUGGAUCUGAAAGUCAAGAAAUUAUCAAAUUAAUAAACAGAUGAAAUUGGCUGGUUCUAGGACAUGGAUCAGAGAUUUACAUGGGAAGGACUCAGUGGCAAGAGAGAUUAAAGAUACACAAAAUAUAAUGGAGAUA